CGAAUACAUUAGCAUGGGAUAAUGGAAUAGGACCCUGUCCUCCUAUUUUCAGUUGGUUUUGGCAGCGCGAGGACUAGGGUAAUGAUUAAUAGGGAUAGUUGGGGGCAUUAAUAUUUAAUUGUCAGAGGUGAAAUUCUUGGAUUUAUGAAAGAUUAACUUCUGCGAAAGCAUCUGCCAAGGAUGUUUUCAUUAAUCAAGAACGAAAGUUAGGGGAUCGAAGACGAUCAGAUACCGUCGUAGUCUUAACCAUAAACGAUGCCGACCAGCGAUUAGGAGACGUUGAAUACAAAACACCACCAUCGGUUGCGGUCGUCCUUGGCGUCUCGGUUUCGGCCGGGGCGCGGGGAUGGCUUAGCCCGGUGGCACCGGUGAAUGACUCCCUAGCAGCUU
rnacentral:rRNA from 1 species